AAGGGGGGGGGGAACCUGUACCGACCAUCGCCGCGUGAGUGAAGAAGGUUUUCGGAUCGUAAAGCUCUGUUGUUAAGGAAGAACGAGUGUGAGAAUGGAAAGUUCAUACUGUGACGGUACUUAACCAGAAAGGGACGGCUAACUACGUGCCAGCAGCCGCGGUAAUA
rnacentral:rRNA from 1 species